GCCUGGAUAGCUCAGUUGGUUAUAGUGUGGUGCUGAUAAUGCCAAGGCUGCAGGUUUAAUCUCCAUAUGGGACA